rfam:Aedes aegypti strain Liverpool supercont1.244 genomic scaffold, whole genome shotgun sequence.
GGCUCGGUAGCUUAGUUGGUAAAGCGCUCGUCUAGCAUACAAGAGUCCUGGGUUCAAAUCCCACCCGAGCAC